rnacentral:rRNA from 1 species
UAGGGAAUCUUCCGCAAUGGGCGAAAGCCUGACGGAGCAACGCCGCGUGAGUGAAGAAGGAUUUCGAUUCGUAAAGCUCUGUUGUUAGGGAAGAAUGAUUGUGUAGUAACUAUACACAGUAGAGACGGUACCUAACCAGAAAGCCACGGCUAACUACGUGCCAGCAGCCGCGGUAAUACGUAGGUGGCAAGCGUUGUCCGGAAUUAUUGGGCGUAAAGCGCGCGCAGGUGGUUUAAUAAGUCUGAUGUGAAAGCCCACGGCUCAACCGUGGAGGGUCAUUGGAAACUGUUAAACUUGAGUGCAGGGGAGAAAAGUGGAAUUCCUAGUGUAGCGGUGAAAUGCGUAGAGAUUAGGAGGAACACCAGUGGCGAAGGCGGCUUUUUGGCCUGUAACUGACACUGAGGCGCGAAAGCGUGGGGAGCAAACAGGAUUAGAUACCCUGGUAGUCCACGCCGUAAACGAUGAGUGCUAAGUGUUGGUCUCAUAAGAGAUCAGUGCUGCAGCUAACGCAUUAAGCACUCCGCCUGGGGAGUACGACCGCAAGGUUG